CCUACGGGGGGCUGCAGUGAGGAAUAUUGGUCAAUGGACGAGAGUCUGAACCAGCCAAGUAGCGUGAAGGAUGACUGCCCUAUGGGUUGUAAACUUCUUUUAUAUGGGAAUAAAAUGUUCCACGUGUGGGAUUUUGUAUGUACCAUAUGAAUAAGGAUCGGCUAACUCCGUGCCAGCAGCCGCGGUAAUACGGAGGAUCCGAGCGUUAUCCGGAUUUAUUGGGUUUAAAGGGAGCGUAGGUGGAUUGAUAAGUCAGUUGUGAAAGUUUGCGGCUCAACCGUAAAAUUGCAGUUGAAACUGGCAGUCUUGAGUACAGUAGAGGUGGGCGGAAUUCGUGGUGUAGCGGUGAAAUGCUUAGAUAUCACGAAGAACUCCGAUUGCGAAGGCAGUUCACUGGACUGCAACUGACACUGAGGCUCGAAAGUGUGGGUAUCAAACAGGAUUAGAUACCCUUGUAGUC
rnacentral:rRNA from 1 species